UAACGAAAGCAGAAGCGCCCGCUUCUCACCUGACCGACGCUAAGAAGGCUGUUGGCAGGUUGUUACGGUUCGCCAACUUUUUGUCCGAACGUCGUGCGCGGGUGCUUUGUGCAUCCGCGCUUUUUCGUUGAG
rfam:B. stearothermophilus infC, rpmI and rplT genes